AUCCAGCUGAUGGGUCCCAAACAGGACGAAACAUGCGUCCUAGAU
rnacentral:hammerhead_ribozyme from 1 species